CGGAACACGUACAGAACCUUCCUUCGAGCGGGGAAUAGCCCGAAGAAAUUCGGAUUAAUACCCCAUAGUAUUAUGAAGUGGCAUCACUUUAUAAUUAAAGAUUUAUCACUUGAAGAUGGCUGUGCGCCUGAUUAGGUAGUUGGCGGAGUAAUAGCCCACCAAGCCUUCGAUCAGUAACUGGUGUGAGAGCACGACCAGUCACACGGGCACUGAGACACGGCCCG
rnacentral:rRNA from 1 species